CAGCAGCCGCGGUAAUACGGAGGAUCCGAGCGUUAUCCGGAUUUAUUGGGUUUAAAGGGAGCGUAGAUGGAUGUUUAAGUCAGUUGUGAAAGUUUGCGGCUCAACCGUAAAAUUGCAGUUGAUACUGGAUAUCUUGAGUGCAGUUGAGGCAGGCGGAAUUCGUGGUGUAGCGGUGAAAUGCUUAGAUAUCACGAAGAACUCCGAUUGCGAAGGCAGCUCACUGGAGCGCAACUGACGCUGAAGCUCGAAAGUGCGGGUAUCGAACAGGAUUAGAUACCCUGGUAGUCCGCACGGUAAACGAUGGAUGCCCGCUGUUGGUCUGAAUAGGUCAGCGGCCAAGCGAAAGCAUUAAGCAUCCCACCUGGGGAGU
rnacentral:rRNA from 1 species